rnacentral:rRNA from 1 species
UUUUAUUUGAGAGUUUGAUCCUGGCUCAGGAUGAACGCUGGCGGCGUGCCUAACACAUGCAAGUUGAGCGAUUUACUUCGGUAAAGAGCGGCGGACGGGUGAGUAACGCGUGGGUAACCUACCCUGUACACACGGAUAACAUACCGAAAGGUAUGCUAAUACGGGAUAAUAUAUUUGAGAGGCAUCUCUUGAAUAUCAAAGGUGAGCCAGUACAGGAUGGACCCGCGUCUGAUUAGCUAGUUGGUAAGGUAACGGCUUACCAAGGCGACGAGCAGUAGCCGACCUGAGAGGGUGAUCGGCCACAUUGGAACUGAGACACGGUCCAAACUCCUACGGGAGGCAGCAGUGGGGAAUAUUGCACAAUGGGCGAAAGCCUGAUGCAGCAACGCCGCGUGAGUGAUGAAGGCCUUCGGGUCGUAAA